rnacentral:lncRNA from 1 species
GCUGGCUGCAAAUUGAAGGCCCCCUUGAAAAUGCUGGAAACAGAUGUUCUGUAGACUCUGACCUCUCAUCAUUAAUUUUAGAAUUUAAAUGCCUGUUAAUUUCCCCCCUUUUAUUGCUGAGCUCCACACAGCAGCAUGCUCAAUGUCAAUGGGAGCAUCCGUUGGGGGCAUUCCAUCUAUCAAAUCUGAAGGUCACUGGAAAUCUGGGAGCUCAGAGGAGGAAAGAAGGACCAGGAGCAAGGAGAGGGGGCCCUUGGGCACACAGGGUGAGGCUGAGAAGAGGCUCCUCUGGCUACAACUGAAGCCUGAGCAGAGGAGAUGAGCACCCACCUACCUGCCCUUGUCCAGUGCAUAGAGAAAAGAAGGGGUUUGGGGAGGAAACAUAGCCCAACCAUUAAACUGUGGAGAAGGAAGGUGGAGAGUGCCUGUAUAUGGAAAGAAGAAAAGCUAACUUCAUGGCUUUCUUGUAUUAACUGAGGCUUCCAGUUUAUAAAUGGAGAAAGAAUGAUGGAACCAGAUCAUUAUCAUUUUGCAACAGCUGAUAAAAUAGUGGGCACAGACAACAACAGUUAAUGGCUACUGACAUCACAAAGAGACUAUCAGACAUUAUAGGCUUCCUUUUGGAAUAUACAACACCAGCACGAAAUAUUUCUGCCAAAUAAUCUAACCUCAUUGUAUUCAAGUCUCUGCUCCUUACAGAAGCUCUCUCUUUAUCUAAACUGGGAGGCAGCUGGGAAUUUGGA